rnacentral:rRNA from 1 species
AGUGAACGCUGGCGGUAGGCCUAACACAUGCAAGUCGAACGGCAGCACAGGAGAGCUUGCUCUCUGGGUGGCGAGUGGCGGACGGGUGAGGAAUACAUCGGAAUCUACUCUGUCGUGGGGGAUAACGUAGGGAAACUUACGCUAAUACCGCAUACGACCUACGGGUGAAAGCAGGGGACCUUCGGGCCUUGCGCGAUUGAAUGAGCCGAUGUCGGAUUAGCUAGUUGGCGGGGUAAAGGCCCACCAAGGCGACGAUCCGUAGCUGGGCUGGGAGGAUGAUCAGCCACACUGGAACUGAGACACGGUACAGACGCCUAGGGGAGGCAGCAGUGGGGAAUAUUGGACAAUGGGCGCAAGCCUGAUCCAGCCAUACCGCGUGGGUGAAGAAGGCCUUCGGGUUGUAAAGCCCUUUUGUUGGGAAAGAAAUCCAGCUGGCUAAUACCCGGUUGGGAUGACGGUACCCAAAGAAUAAGCACCGGCUAACUUCGUGCCAGCCGCCGCAGUAA